AAUCCAUAGGUUAAUGAGGCGAACCGGGGGAACUGAAACAUCUAAGUACCCCGAGGAAAAGAAAUCAACCGAGAUUCCCCCAGUAGCGGCGAGCGAACGGGGAGGAGCCCAGAGCCUGAAUCAGCAUGUGUGUUAGUGGAAGCGUCUGGAAAGGCGCGCGAUACAGGGUGACAGCCCCGUACACAAAAGCGCAUGUGCUGUGAGCUCGAUGAGUAGGGCGGGACACGUGGUAUCCUGUCUGAAUAUGGGGGGACCAUCCUCCAAGGCUAAAUACUCCUGACUGACCGAUAGUGAACCAGUACCGUGAGGGAAAGGCGAAAAGAACCCCGGCGAGGGGAGUGAAAAAGAACCUGAAACCGUGUACGUACAAGCAGUGGGAGCCCCACCACUAAGCCAGUGGUGA
rnacentral:rRNA from 1 species